rnacentral:rRNA from 1 species
GACUAACGGCUGGCGGCGUGCCUAACACAUGCAAGUCGAACGCAUCUGUGCUUCGGUACAGAUGAGUGGCGAAUGGGUGAGUAACACGUGAGUAACUCCCCUGGGGGAGGGGGAUAACCAUCUGAAAAGGUGGCUAAUACCCCAUAUUCUCUUUUCUCAUAAGAGGAAAGAGGAAAGAUGGCGUAAGCUAUCACCCCGAGAGAGGCUCGCGUCCCAUCAGCUAGUUGGUAAGGUAAGAGCUUACCAAGGCUAUGACGGGUAGCUGGUCUGAGAGGAUGGUCAGCCACACUGGGACUGAGACACGGCCCAGACUCCUACGGGAGGCAGCAGUGAGGAAUCUUGGGCAAUGGGCGAAAGCCUGACCCAGCGACGCCGCGUGGAGGAAGAAGGCCUUCGGGUCGUAAACUCCUGUUCGGGGAGAAGAACAGGAGGGAAGUGAAUAACUUCUCUCCCUGACGGUAUCCUCGGAGAAAGCUCCGGCUAAUUACGUG